CAAAUGAAACGACACGUGUUAAUGAUGUUGAAAGCUUCAAUUGAUACGUACAAUACAAGUCUCCUAAAGGGAUAUUCUUGAUCUUGAGGAGACCAUUUCUCCUUUAGAGUUUCAACUUCUUUCUCUUUGUCUCCGAGAAGAAAAGAGGUUCAUCGUCUUCUGAUCUUCUCUUAUCCAUUAAUAAUCUUCUAAUUUGUCUUUCUAAUAACAACAGGCCAUUCACAAGAUUCCGGUGAAUAAUCCCUAUGUAAGGGAAACACAUAAGUCUUUUCUCAAAAGAAUCUCGUCGGUGAUUCAAUAAAGAUUCAUUGCAUUUUAGUAGUCUCGGAACGAUGUCAUUCCUGUGCAACAAUGGCAGAAAAAGAGACAAGGGAAGAAGAAAAGAGAAAGAAAGAACGAUAGAAGAGAAUUAUCAUCAAUGUUGCUGUUGUUGCGUGUGGCCUCAAUUUUCAAUGGUUAGAGGAAUAAAGAGAUGUUUAUUUCUCUCAUGCUAUCCAUUUAUUCGCUGUUUAGGGUUGGAAGAGAGAAGACAUCGUCAUCAUCUUCAUUACCAAAACCAUUUCCUAUGAUAAAUUUGUGUGUAUUCGUAUAUAAGCUUGAGAUUACUAUAAGCAUAUAUAUGAAAACAUUUCUUGGUUUCUAGAAAACAAAACAAAAACUUGUAAUAUAAUUCAAAAUAAGGAAUCAAGACAAUGAAAUGUUUGGUUAGCUAGGUG